rnacentral:lncRNA from 1 species
UCGAUCUCAGUUGGGUACGUCGGUCUAUUGAGCACGCGAGGCGACGAGUUGCUGCACCCACCGAACCCUCUUACACAUAAUCAUCAUGUCAGAAUUUUACCACUUGGGCUCUUCUUGCUUGUGAAUAAUUCAAGUGCACUCCUUCAGUGAUUCUUCACCGCCACAUUCACGCAUCACACUUUUGGCACAGCUACAUGCAAUUGGGAUUGUUCGGUGAAGCUGGGCUUGGCUGCUAUGCUGUCAUCGGAUCACGAGCUUCGUCGCCUGGAUUGAGGCAGCGACGCGUUUGAGUCGUGUCACUGACAGGAAUGGCACGGCAGGGGGGAAAGCGACGGCUCAAUCUGGUACAGGCCCGCUUCAGGUGAGGCAGUGGCUAGGAGGGAUGGAACGGCUCGUGGUCGCUGGUGCAGUCACGAGGAGGGAGCAGCAGGUGGCGAGAGUCAGAGUCAUGGGCUGCAACUCGGCUGGCUCACGUCGGAGUAGGGGCCGGUUCAACGUCGUUGUGCAGAGACUACCAGGGCUGAGAAGCAAAGAACUCGUUGGAAUACCGUUGCAGGAUCCUAAUGGCCGUGAAAUUGCUGGACUGGCGAGGCACGGAUCUGCGGCUACAUUGCGAGGAGGGAGGAGCGAUGGUUGUUGGCUUCCUUGGAGGAGCUCGCUGAUUAUGGUGAGUGAUGUCACCGAACGAGGGAUCGAUUGGUCUGGUGCGAUGAUGAAAAGGCUGCGGUGAAGGACCGGGACAAAGACCUUGCUCUCUGUUUUUUUCUCUCUCUUUUCGCCGCUCUCUCUCUAGGGUUGCAGCUCCUUUUUCUCUCAAUUGCGGCCGUGAAUGUUAGUUGUGCGCCAACCCCC